AGCAGCCGCGGUAAUUCCAGCUCCAAUAGCGUAUAUUAAAGUUGUUGCGGUUAAAAAGCUCGUAGUUGAAUUUCGGGGUUAGUAGAUUGGUCAUGCCUCUGGUAUGUACUGGUCUCACUGAUUCCUCCUUCCUGAUGAUCCGUAAUGCCAUUAAUUUGGUGUUGCGGGGAAUUUGGACUGUUACUUUGAAAAAAAUUAGAGUGUUUAAAGCAAGCUAACGCUUGAAUACAUUAGCAUGGAAUAAUGAAAUAGGACGUUCGAUCCUAUUUUGUUGGUUUCUAGGAUUGACGUAAUGAUUAAUAGGGAUAGUUGGGGGCAUUAGUAUUCAAUUGUCAGAGGUGAAAUUCUUGGAUUUAUUGAAGACUAACUACUGCGAAAGCAUUUGCCAAGGAUGUUUUCAUUAAUCAAGAACGAAAGUCAGGGGAUCGAAGACGAUCAGAUACCGUCGUAGUCUUAACCAUAAACUAUGCCGACUAGGGAUCGGAUGAUGUUAAUUUUUUAAUGACUCA
rnacentral:rRNA from 1 species